AGACUCUACCCCCUCCAGAGUAGGGGCAAAGGCACCCAGGAACUGGGCAGGAAGCCAUGAAGAGACACUGGGGAUCCCUGCUGGGGCUUCUGUGGGUCCAGGUUUGCUGUGAGUCAGGGUCACCCCGCAGGGGAACUGGGGAAUGUUCUACGGCUGACAAGGGGAGCAGGGAGGAGAGCUGACUCUGAGCUACAUCCUCAUGGGUGUUUCCUGGGGUGUUUUCUGGAUCUGGAGCCUGCAUCAAUGACUCUGUGACAUUGUAUGUAUUUGUUUUUCUCUUUCAAAGCAGGGGUGAGAGGGAUGAAUGUGGAGCAGAGUCCUUCAGCUCUGAGCAUCCAGGAGGGAACGAGCUCUACUCUGCGGUGCAAUUUUUCUAACCCAGUAAAUUAUGUGCAGUGGUUCCGACAGAAUCCUGGGGGUGGCCUCAUCCGACUGUUUUAUAUAACCAUUCUUUCAAAUAAGGUCAAAGAGGAAAACCAAGGACUCACUGUUUUAUUGAAUAAGACAGCCAAACAUCUGUCCCUGCACAUCACAGCCACCCAGCCUGGAGACGCAGCUGUCUACUUCUGUGCAGCAAGUACACAUUGCUUCCCAGGCACCUGCUACCUGUAUUCAAACCUGCUACUCGGGCAGCCUCCUUCCUUUGGCGCGGACCUUCAAGCGUAG